rnacentral:rRNA from 1 species
CUACGGGUGGCUGCAGUGAGGAAUAUUGCACAAUGGGGGCAACCCUGAUGCAGCAACGCCGCGUGUACGAUGACACAGUUUAUCUGCGUAAAGUACUGUUAACCGGGACGAAAAGAUGCAUGGACUGCAUUUAUAUGACGGUACCGGUAGAGGAAGCUCCGGCUAACUCCGUGCCAGCAGCCGCGGUAAUACGGGGGGAGCUAGCGUUGUCCGGCUUUAUUGGGCGUAAAGGGCAUGUAGGUGGGACUUUAAGUCAGUUGUUAAAUAUUACGGCUUAACUGUAUUAUGCAAUUGAUACUGGAGUUCUUGAGUAUGAGAGGGGACAGAGGAAUACCUGGUGUAGCGGUGGAAUGCGUAGAUAUUAGGUAGAACACCUGAGGCGAAGGCGUCUGUCUGGCUCAUUACUGACACUGAAAUGCGAAAGUAUGGGGAGCAAACAGGAUUAGAUACCCUCGUAGUC